AUUGAACGCUGGCGGCAGGCCUAACACAUGCAAGUCGAACGAGUGGCGGACGGGUGAGUAAUAUCUGGGAAACUGCCCGAUGGAGGGGGAUAACUACUGGAAACGGUAGCUAAUACCGCAUACUCUCGGAUGUGCCCAUAUGGGAGUAGCUAGUAGGUGGGGUAAGGGCUCACCUAGGACACGAUCCCUAGCUGGUCUGAGAGGAUGAACAGCCACACUGGGACUGAGACACGGUCCAGACUCCUACGGGAGGCAGCAGUGGGGAAUAUUGCACAAUGGGCGCAAGCCUGAUGCAGCCAUGCCGCGUGUAUGAAGAAGGCCUUCGGGUUGUAAAGUACUUUCAGCGGGGAGGCGGUACCUGCAGAAGAAGCACCGGCUAACUCCGUGCCAGCAGCCGCGGUAAUUC
rnacentral:rRNA from 1 species